CCUACGGGAGGCAGCAGUAGGGAAUAUUGCUCAAUGGGGGAAACCCUGAAGCAGCAACGCCGCGUGGAGGAUGAAGGCUUUCGGAUUGUAAACUUCUUUUGUUAGGGAAGAUAAUGACGGUAUCUAUCGAAUAUGCACCGGCUAACUCCGUGCCAGCAGCAGCGGUAAUACGGAGGGUGCAAGCGUUACUCGGAAUAACUGGGCGUAAAGGGCGCGUAGGCGGGAUAAUAAGUCAGAUGUGAAAUCCCAUGGCUUAACCAUAGAACUGGAUUUGAAACUGUUGUUCUAGAGUAUGGUAGAGGUAGGUGGAAUUCAUGGUGUAGCGGUGAAAUGCAUAGAGAUCA
rnacentral:rRNA from 1 species